rnacentral:lncRNA from 1 species
UUCUAGAGACCGAGGCGGCCGACAUGUUUUGUCUUUUGUUCUGUUUCUUUUAAAAAAGAAAACAUUUAUUAAGAAAAUUAUAUAAAUAAAUUACACUUAUUGAAAUAUAAUUUCUAACUUCUAAUAGGAUUGCAUUGUAGUAGCAUUCAUGCAAAAUAAGUAAAAAAUAAGACAUUCACAGCCAUGUUAGACAUUCAUAAACCUAUCUUAUCACAUAGUUAAUCAACUAUCG